rnacentral:rRNA from 1 species
UGCAGUCGAACGGAAAGGCCUUUCGGGGUACUCGAGUGGCGAACGGGUGAGUAACACGUGGGUGAUCUGCCCUGCACUUUGGGAUAAGCCUGGGAAACUGGGUCUAAUACCGGAUAGGACCACGCGCUUCAUGGUGUGUGGUGGAAAGCUUUUGCGGUGUGGGAUGGGCCCGCGGCCUAUCAGCUUGUUGGUGGGGUGAUGGCCUACCAAGGCGACGACGGGUAGCCGGCCUGAGAGGGUGUCCGGCCACACUGGGACUGAGAUACGGCCCAGACUCCUACGGGAGGCAGCAGUGGGGAAUAUUGCACAAUGGGCGCAAGCCUGAUGCAGCGACGCCGCGUGAGGGAUGACGGCCUUCGGGUUGUAAACCUCUUUCAGCACAGACGAAGCGCAAGUGACGGUAUGUGCAGAAGAAGCACCGGCCAACUACGUGCCAGCAGCCGCGGUAAUACGUAGGGUGCGAGCGUUGUCCGGAAUUACUGGGCGUAAAGAGCUCGUAGGUGGUUUGUCGCGUUGUUCGUGAAAACUCACAGCUUAACUGUGGGCGUGCGGGCGAUACGGGCAGACUGGAGUACUGCAGGGGAGACUGGAAUUCCUGGUGUAGCGGUGGAAUGCGCAGAUAUCAGGAGGAACACCGGUGGCGAAGGCGGGUCUCUGGGCAGUAACUGACGCUGAGGAGCGAAAGCGUGGGGAGCGA